GGAAGGUAUAAUUGAAUCACGGGGAUCAUUUUUAUCGUCGCUCUGUAAGAGAGUAUGAAACGACUUCAACAUGUGUGAAAGUUGCGGUGCUGAGAUUAUAGGUUUUUUUUUGUCAAGCACUGCCCCGCUGCCACAAAACAUCUAAUUUUACAAUAUAUCAGAGUUUAACUGCACGCAUCCAAAUGCCAUCAAACAUAUAUCCUGCUGUGACUCACCCUGCAAAUGUUUAAACCUGCACUAGACACUCUUCUGGAAUGUGUGUGAUUCCCUAAGGAACGAGAAGUCCAUGUACGAUGCUGGCGAUGUACUGCCAUGUGAUGUGUGAGAGCCAAAAGAAGAGGCUGCAUGCCCCAUGAAAACAGUUGCAGGAAAUCUGGUUGCUGUCAAGCUUCUGUAUGUGCUGGGUGCUGAACGUCAUGUGAGAGUGUAUUCUGAGUAGAUGACUUACAAGCAUCAUGUUUGUUCCUCUCUCUCUCUCUCUCAUGGCCACCUGGCUUCCCGGAACCACAAACAUAACAAAAGGGAAGUCAAAGGAACAUUAAAAAAUAGUAGAAGUUUGGUAAACUGAAUAUGAAGAAACUAAUUCUACUUGCACUGAAUUGAUAACCCAUUGAGAACUGAAAUAAGGAAGUGUGCAGUGAUCUACGUUAAUGUGUUUUUUUUUAAGAUGUGAAAUGCAGUCUGCCAAUGACAUGCACAUUGGUCACACCCCUUUUGAAAGCCUGGAGAGUUGCAGCUCUUGGACUCUGCAGUUAAAAUAAAUUAUUCAUGAAAGAUCAAAGAUUGAUGCAAGCACUGGAAUCUUUAUGGUACAGCAAAACCAUAAGUGGUCACAGUGUGGCAGAACACAAGACCACCUUUAAUACCAUGAUGCCACUUCAUAGAAUGACUGGCCAUUCCAAGAUCAUCUGCAAGAACGGUUCUAGUCGAUCAUCAUCCCAUGAGCAGAUGGCCGGGAAAGACUAAAGCUCCUCGGUUAGAUUGGACACUUGUAUUCAGAUUUAGACUCUCUGAAUUAGGGCAGGUUGAGGAAUAAUUGCAAAAGAGCAUUAUGUGGCCAGUCAGUGAAAUCAUAGCACCAUCAUCAAAGAUGUCAGGCAAUAUAAAAGUGAAACCAAUUUGCCCAUUGGCUCCUUCUGGUAUACUUCCUAAGAUCAAAAUGAAAUUAAUUCCCCUUUUUUUCUUAGCCCAUAUCUUCCCCUGAUUCAAUUAUUUAUUCAAUUUUCGUUUAAAUCAUCCGAGGUCUCCAGAUCAACCAUUUUUUUGUGACAACACAUUCCAUUCUACAACCUAAAUAGAUUUGUCCUAAUUCUUCUCACCUUCUUGGCUAGGUUUAAAUUGCCCCUCUUCACUGAUCCUUCAAUCAACAUUUUUUUAAUGUUGACCUUAUUAAAAUAAUUAAUUAUUUUGCAAAUCUUUGGCAAAUUCUUCUAUUCUACUACAGAUAAUAUGAUCAAAUAUAGAAUGUGUCUGUUUAUUGGUUGCUUUCAAUAUUGUUCUGAUGAAUCUAUUAUCAAGAAAUUGAAGUUCAGCCAUUCCUAAUGCAUUUUCCAUGGACAGGUCCACCCUGGGUUGUACACGCCUGACUUAUGUUAACCCUGUACAUAUGUUUGGGAGAAUGGUAUGGUGAAUGGAGAUGGAUUUGCUAGCGGCUGCUGGGCUGCAGGCAUCUUCAUUUCCCUGCACCUUCUCUCCCCACUCAUGAAAAGCAACAACUGGGGAUUGGGUCGAGCCAAGGAAACAGGAAGCGCCAACACCUAAAGAUGUGCUGGGCACAGCCCACAAGGACGGCCACGCAUUCCAGUGCCAGCGUGGCGUGUCCACGGAGCUUUACAGAACCGGGAAACAUCAACAGCAAAACAAGACCCUUUCCUCCCUACCACCCACCAAUCCACAUGGUUGGUUUCUGACUCUACGUAGAAAUUCAGUGCUCAGGACUAUGUCUGAGCCAGGAUAUCGAAGGAGGUUUAUCUCCAAUUCAAACCUAAGUUCAUUUUGCUUACAAAAACUAUUUCAGUGUAAGAACAAAUACUAAAUUAAUUAGGAUCUAUGAAAAUCAAAGUUAUCACUGAAGCCCAAAAAUAUUAGGCUGCAAGCCAAAUGCAGAUGAAGCAAGGAGGUUAGUUCUCCGAGAUUUACAAUGGUCCCUGAAGCAAAUAUUAAGACUAAGUGAAGAUCGUUACAUCAUGCUUAUUCUAUUGACAUGGUGCUUAUGUCCACUUAAUGCUUUGGGUUUCUAACAAGAGGCAAAUAAUCCUUGUCACCUUUAGCCGGUUUAACACUCCUGGUGCUCCACUCCGAGCAUUCCAAAGCAGUUACGUUCCCUAUACAUAAAAAGAACCAUUGAGGCAGGGUGUGUUGCUGUGCUGGGAGCUUACCCAACAACUAAUUCCUCCUUGGCUCAGUGUGAGGAGGGUACCUUUAAGGAAGAAGAUGGAAAUGUGUUAUUGGGAGCUGGAGGAACAUGACUGGAAGAGAAAGAGAAGCUAAAAUACAGAGUGACUCUUCGUAGGCUACAUGAGGUAAGAUUGUACCCAAGUGAUGCAAUCACUCACAGACAGCUUUCACAUUCAGCAAUACGUUCCUUCUUUCCUUUACCUGUAGAUUACUUUGACUUCUUUCAAACAAACCUAAAAAUGAAGCCUACCUUAUGAUGUACAAACAUAUCUAAUUUUAGAAUGUAUUCAUUAAAUUAUGCAGGUAAGAUGAAUUAAAAAGCCUUCUCCAUUCCCUUAGUACUCUCCUUCAUUGCGUCUUUGACAGUUCAAGUGUUUUCAUGAAUCCCUUUGCUCUAUAAGUGGUGGAAAGUUAGUGACCCUCACUUGAUCAAGUUAAGAAUGGCAGAGAAUUAGCUGAAUCAGCAUUUUUCAGUAACAGUUCAUAUUGUACCACUUAGCAUAGGCAGCACUGGCAGUGUUGAUGGAUAGAGAGGUUACUUGGCAGAUGAUGUUUAAUGUGAAUAAGUAUGAGGUUAUCAACUUUGGGAGUAAGAACAGGAAGGCAAAUUAUUAUCUGAACGGUGUAGAGUUAGGUAAAGGAGAAAUACAAAGAGAUCUACGAGUCUUUGCUUAUCAGUCGCUGAAGAUGAAUGAGCAAGUGCAGCAGGCAGUGAAGAAGGCUAAUGGAAUGUUGCCCUUUAUUACAAAGGGAAUUGAGUACAAGAGCAAGGAAAUCCUCUUGCAUUUGUACAGGGCCCUGGUGAGACCACACCUGGAGUAUUGUGUACAGUUUUGGUCUCCAGGGUUAAGGAAGGACAUCCUGGCUAUAGAGGAAGUGCAGUGUAGAUUCAUGAGGUUAAUUCCUGGGACGUCCGGACUGUCUUUCGCAGAGGGGUUAGAGAGACUGGGCUUGUACACGCUGGAAUUAAGGAGAUUGAGAGGGGAUCUGAUUGCAACUUAUAAGAUUAUUAAGGGAUUGGACAAGAUAGAGUCAGGAAAUACGUUCCAGAUGCUGGGAGAGUCCAUUACCAGAGGGCAUGGUUUGAGAA